GCACUCGUAGCUCAGUGGAUAGAGCAGCGGAUUCCGGUUCCGCGUGUCGGGGGUUCGAAUCCUCUCGGGUGCA
rnacentral:tRNA from 1 species